rnacentral:rRNA from 1 species
AUUGAACGCUGGCGGAAUGCUUUACACAUGCAAGUCGAGCGGCAGCGCGGGGCAACCUGGCGGCGAGCGGCGAACGGGUGAGUAAUGCAUCGGAACGUGUCCAUGUCGUGGGGGAUAGCCCGGCGAAAGCCGGAUUAAUACCGCAUACGCCCGAGAGGGGAAAGUGGGGGACCGCAAGGCCUCACGCGAUUGGGUCGGCCGAUGUCCGAUUAGCUAGUUGGCGGGGUAAAGGCCCACCAAGGCGAUGAUCGGUAGCUGGUCUGAGAGGAUGAGCAGCCACACUGGGACUGAGACACGGCCCAGACUCCUACGGGAGGCAGCAGUGGGGAAUUUUGGACAAUGGGGGCAACCCUGAUCCAGCCAUUCCGCGUGAGUGAAGAAGGCCUUCGGGUUGUAAAGCCCUUUUGUCCGGAACGAAACGGAUGACGUGAAUAUCGUCGUCUACUGACGGUACCGGAAGAAUAAGCACCGGCUAACUACGUGCCAGCAGCCGCCGUAA